rnacentral:rRNA from 1 species
UGCGUAGGCGGAUUAAUAAGUCAGUGGUGAAAACCUGCAGCUUAACUGUAGAACUGCCAUUGAUACUGUUAGUCUUGAGUACGGUCAAGGUAGGCGGAAUGUGUAAUGUAGCGGUGAAAUGCUUAGAUAUUACACAGAACACCGAUUGCGAAGGCAGCUUACUGGACCAUUACUGACGCUUAGGCACGAAAGCGUGGGGAGCGAACAGGAUUAGAUACCCUGGUAGUCC